rnacentral:rRNA from 1 species
GGUUUAAUUCGAAGCAACGCGAAGAACCUUACCAGCCCUUGACAUACCGAUCGCGAUUAGUGGAGACACUUUUCUUCAGUUCGGCUGGAUCGGAUACAGGUGCUGCAUGGCUGUCGUCAGCUCGUGUUGUGAGAUGUUGGGUUAAGUCCCGCAACGAGCGCAACCCUUUUCCUUAUUUGCCAGCGGGUUAAGCCGGGAACUUUAAGGAUACUGCCAGUGACAAACUGGAGGAAGGCGGGGACGACGUCAAGUCAUCAUGGCCCUUACGCCCAGGGCUACACACGUGCUACAAUGGUCGGUACAAAGGGUUGCUACCUAGCGAUAGGAUGCUAAUCUCAAAAAGCCGAUCGUAGUCCGGAUUGGAGUCUGCAACUCGACUCCAUGAAGUCGGAAUCGCUAGUAAUCGCAUAUCAGAAUGAUGCGGUGAAUACGUUCCCGGGCCUUGUACACACCGCCCGUCAAGCCAUGGAA